AUUUAGUCUGAUAAAAUUCAUGUACAGUGGGGGAAUGCCCCUGCUUAAGCCAUGUAAACGGCAAAUUAUAUCAAUAAAAUUUUAUUUGCCUGUUUUGUCUCUUUUAUUAUCAGCAUUUAUAUUUGGUAUCUUAAUCGAGGGUUCCUUAACACUGAAAGUGUGGGGUAAUUAACAACAGAUUCUUGAGUCUGUUGGAAGCCAUGAACCUAUAAUCCUGAUUUCAAAAUAAAACAUAAACAAAUUUAACCUCUACCAUGAAUGACCACUCGCCCUAAAAACAACCUACGGCGGGGCCGGUUCGUUCGCGGCAGACAAAAUGGCAUGCCAGGUGGGACAUGCCUUCA
rnacentral:lncRNA from 1 species